rnacentral:rRNA from 1 species
GACGAACGCUGGCGGCGUGCUUAACACAUGCAAGUCGAACGGAAAGGCCUCUUUCGGGGGGUACUCGAGUGGCGAACGGGUGAGUAACACGUGAGUAACCUGCCCUUGACUUUGGGAUAACUUCAGGAAACUGGGGCUAAUACCGGAUAGGAGCUCCUGCUGCAUGGUGGGUUGGAAAGUUUCGGCGGUUGGGGAUGGACUCGCGGCUUAUCAGCUUGUUGGUGGGGUAGUGGCUUACCAAGGCUUUGACGGGUAGCCGGCCUGAGAGGGUGACCGGCCACAUUGGGACUGAGAUACGGCCCAGACUCCUACGGGAGGCAGCAGUGGGGAAUAUUGCACAAUGGGUGGAAGCCUGAUGCAGCAACGCCGUGUGCGGGAUGACGGCCUUCGGGUUGUAAACCGCUUUCGCUCAUGACGAAGCUUUGUGUGACGGUAGUGGGUAAAGAAGCACCGGCUAACUACGUG